GUGUGGUAUCUUGGAAAGGAAGUGGUGCUAACCAAAGAUAACCUUGCCCAUCGCAACUGGCAUGGAAGCAACAAGUGUGGCUUUUGUACACAUGAAGAGACAAUCAGACACCUCUUUUUCCCGUGCAAGUUUGCAAGUUCUACGUGGUCAAUCAUUCAAAUAGCGUCUAAUCUUUAUCCGCCCACAGCAUAA
rnacentral:rRNA from 1 species